rnacentral:rRNA from 2 species
AAGAAACCAACAGGGAUUGCCCUAGUAACGGCGAGUGAAGCGGCAACAGCUCAAAUUUGAAAUCUGGCUCUUUCAGAGUCCGAGUUGUAAUUUGCAGAGGGCGCUUUGGUGUUGGCAGCGGUCCAAGUUCUUUGGAACAGGACGUCACAGAGGGUGAGAAUCCCGUACGUGGUCGCUAGCCCUCACCGUGUAAAGCCCCUUCGACGAGUCGAGUUGUUUGGGAAUGCAGCUCUAAAUGGGAGGUAAAUUUCUUCUAAAGCUAAAUACUGGCCAGAGACCGAUAGCGCACAAGUAGAGUGAUCGAAAGAUGAAAAGCACUUUGGAAAGAGAGUCAAAUAGCACGUGAAAUUGUUGAAAGGGAAGCGCUUGCAGCCAGACUUGCCUGUAGUUGCUUAUCCGGACUUUUGUCCGGUGCACUCUUCUGCGGGCAGGCCAGCAUCAGUUUGGGCGGUUGGAUAAAGGUCUCUGUCAUGUACCUCCUUUCGGGGAGGCCUUAUAGGGGAGACGACAUGCAACCAGCCUGGACUGAGGUCCGCGCAUCUGCUAGGAUGCUGGCGUAAUGGCUGUAAGCGGCCCGUCUUGAAACACGGACCAAGGAGUCUAACAUCUAUGCGAGUGUUUGGGUGUCAAGCCCAGACGCGUAAUGAAAGUGAACGGAGGUGGGAACCCUUUGGGUGCACCAUCGACCGAUCCUGAUGUCUUCGGAUGGAUUUGAGUAAGAGCAUGGCUGUUGGGACCCCGAAAGAUGGUGAACUAUGCCUUGAAUAGGGGUGAAGCCAGAGGAAACUCUGGUGGAGGCUCGCAGCGGUUCUGA